AAUGUUUUCAUUUUAAUGUUUAUUUUUACAUUCAUCUUUAAAAAAUUAUGAUUUUUUUUUCCAGUAUAUUAUACAUAACCAUCUAUUCACCUAAAAAAAUAUAUAUAUGUAAUGGAUGAUGUCCUGUUAUAAUGACAAAAUAACAAAGCAGGGGUUUCUUAUCACCCUGAAGGAGUUUAUUACAAAGAGUAAACAGAAUAGAGUUUAUAAACAAACUGGCUGUACAUUAUCACUAAAUAGAAAAUAAAUACUGAUUCAAGCUGAAAUUAUUUCAUUACGUGAAAAAAAGAAAACAAAUAGACCCCAGAGUGAUAUGAAAUACAUGAAACUAGCACAGCUACUGUAAAAAAUUUCUGUAAAUUUACAGCAUAUUAACAGCGUAAAUAUACAGUACUGAACUGUUUUCUAAAAUUACGGUGUCUUACCGUAAAUGCACACGUGAUCGGUGGGAGAGGGGGAACCAAAGGCUAGCUGACGCAUGGAGGAGAAUGGAUUCAGUCAAAGUUUUAUGGAUUUCAUCUCAAGUUGAGGCUCAUUUACAGAUUGCAGAUAACGAGGAUAUGAAGAACAUGAAGAUGGACUGGUUUCACAUGCAGAUGUUGCAGCAUCUGCAUCUGAUGUUGAGAAGACACUCAAUCUACCUGCCAAUCCUCAUCAGAUUUUGCUGGUGUCCAGUCAACAUUUUUGACUGCAGUUGCAACAGUGUUUGCUGUGUACUACAUCUUCAACCUGCAGUAUCAAGAGGCGGCUUGUUGCACGUUAGAAUUUUUUCAAAGAUGAUUCUAUGGAAUAAACCCAGAAAGAGGCUCAAAGACCUGCCGAGGCAAGGUAGUCUCCAAGAAGACGGGGAAGGUGGUGAAUAAGAAGUCCACUACAGUCAAUCCAAAGGUUGCCACUCUACAAAAAAAUCGAAUGGACUUCAAAUGGGACUUCAUCUAGGCAAGUGAAGUUACACAUACAUUUUCAUUAAAUACAGUUCUUAAUACAACUUAUUUCACAGUUUACACACAUAGAAUAUUUCUCACAUUUAAACUUGUUUAACAAAAAAAAAAAUCAACAUUUAAAAGUAGUCAGUUGAAAAAGACUGAUGUGACUCAUUUUGGUUACUAACGUUGCGUCCCUGUAGUUUGCAUUGCAUAAAAUAAAAUAAUUUACAGCAAAGAAACGGUUUUAUAAAUAAAAUAUCCACAAACCUAUAUUUGACCCAAAAAAAAGUCGUCAGUGGCACUGAGAACUACCCUGAAGAGGAUACAGUCCGCACUCAUUACAACCCCUAUGUUGUUGCGACUGUUCAGUCCCAGGUUACACAAAAACUGCGGGUUCGAGCCCUGCUCGGAGCGAGUCGUUGCUGCUGCUGCUCUCGUUCAGUUUCAGCCUCGGGUAAAACAAGCAUCUUCGAAAUGCAGGGAACAAACACAAACACUUGCACAACUCCGUUGAUGCUCUGUAAAAAUAAACUCCAUCCACUGGUCCCUUAAUGCUGUUUUUUUUUUUGGUAAUCUGUGCAGGGUUGUCUUGCCCUGGCAACCAAAAACACACUUCUUUUGUGACAUUUCGCGACGCUCUCGCUCUGAUCAGUGAUUGUCUGUGCUGCUCAGCCUCGCAAUACGGGAGCACGCGCUCUUCUUCUUCUCUAGUAAAGAGCGCGCGCUCUUCCGGCCAACGUGCCCUCAGGACCCAUAUAAGGAAAUUCCGCUCCAUCUAACGUCACACAGAGCCAUACUCGAAAAAAACUUUCCGAAACUUGUGACAAACAGGAAGAGGUAUUUUUGGAACAGAAAUACUCCUUCAAACGUACAACUUAAUUUUUGAAACUUUGUCCUUGUUUAGCAUGUAAAAAACUCAGUAUGCAUGAAAUAGCAUUUCACCCCCCCUUUAAUCUAGUGUUCCUUUUUUUGAUUAGCUAAUUAAUCCUUUGGAUAACUUUACAAAAAUUAUUAGUACAACUUCUAACAUAAUAUUGUAACUUUUAUUAAUUAAUACACUAAUCCACAUCGCGAUUUCAGUUAGUGUACAACACUAUUUUAUUAUAUUCAUCACAAAUGUGACAAAUUCUGUGACAAUCCACAUUAUUUGCCUAAUUCCGUUUUCAUGAUUGGAUUCCGUGAUUGCUAGGGAUGCACGAUAUUGGAUUUUGGCCGAUAUUCGAUAUGCCGAUAUUUUCAAAAUAAUUUUGGCCGAUGCCGAUACCGAUAUCGAUAUAUAUACAAAUAUAUACUGAUAUAUUUAAACUUUAAUUUUACUGAAGAGAAAUCCAUGUAUCUCUUCUGUACUGAUUCUACCAUAAAUUUAUUAUUUUACAAAUGUAGACAGACAUUCACAUCUGAAAAACAGGUCAAUUAUUUCACUUGGAGAAUAUCGGUUUGGCUCAUCGGCAGAAAUAUUCAUAUCGGCCGAUACCGAUAAUGGUCAUUUUAAGCUUUUAUCGGCCGAUACCGAUAUUGUGCCGAUAUUAUCGUGCAUCCCUAGUGAUUGCCUCCAUGUUUUUCACAUCGUGGAAAUCGUAGGGUCCUAAGUUUCUGAAAUUUUUUAUAUUGUUAUACAGUAUACAUGUUUUUUGUUACGUUCUAUUAAAAUUCUGCUGAUGUUAUUUUAA
ensembl:lncRNA